UUGUGUUGUCUGCGAUGCACCAGCAAAAUCCGGAUUAAAAUUGAUACUUGGCCAUGCUGCUAAGCUAUCAUGCUCCUACUGUUACAUAGAGAGCUCAUCAUCCUUGGGACGAGGCGCAUAAAUUCCUGGACAAGCGAACGCCUCUGGAACACAUUCAAAACCUUGAUAUGGUGUUAGUUGAACAAGAACAAGAUUCAACGAUCAGGUGUCCCGCGUACAGCUGUACAAAUAGUUGGGUUUCCUAGUUGCAGACCUGGAACUAGCAAAGAGAUAGCCAGACCAACAGCGAUGUACCCAAUAGAGUUACCAAAUCACAAUGAUAUUGCAGCGUCCAGCAAAAUUGGUGACAAGGCAUAUGAGGUCCCAAAACAGAACGAUAUUGCAGCGGAUGUCGUAAUUGGUGAGAAGUUAUAUGAGGUCCCGAAACAGAACGAUAUUGCAGCAAAUAUCGUAUUGGUGAGAAUAAAUAUGAGGUCCCAACACAGAACAAGGUUGGCGAGAAGUAAAAUGAGUCUGUGUACGACUAUGGUGGAGGGUCUGGCGAUAAGGGAUAUGCAGACGCACAAAGACAGUCGCAACAGUUCCGCUUUUCUCCAAGGGAUGUAAACAGAUAUCAUUAUAAUGAGAUGAGAAUAAGGAUGGAGACAGAGUUUCAGAGCGAAUCUGCAGAUAUCCACGGAAAUGAAUUUCAUGAUAUGGACACAGGCAAAGUAAAGAGGAAUAUGAAUGGAUCAGCACUGACGGGAAGACCAGUAUUAAGCAGCAUUAUAAAUCAGUUUUAGUUCAGGACUUCACUUCGGUCAGCAUCAACCUGAAUAUACAUCAAUCACCUGCCGGCCUAUCCCCAUGAACUACAGAAUUCUACCGGGAUGUAUAUUUUUAAGAAAAUCCAACCCUCACUUUAUUGGGGGUAAAUAAACAAAUUUUGUGUAAAAAAGUUUGUGAAAGGAUGAAAAAUCUGGCCUUUUCAGAUAUAAUUCUUAUAAAAAACAUGUCCCAGGAGGGUGUGGGUUAAAUCUUAAAAUAUACAUCCCAGUUUAUAAUCGUUCAAUUAACUGUUCAUUCAACUGGUCAUAUUUUUUAAAAAUAAAUAUUUUUUCUAUAA